UACGUAGGGUCCGAGCGCUGUCCGGAAUUAUUGGGCGUAAAGAGCUUGUAGGCGGUCUGUCGCGUCUGCUGUGAAAAUCCGGGGCUCAACCCCGGACUUGCAGUGGGUACGGGCAGACUAGAGUGUGGUAGGGGAGACUGGAAUUCCUGGUGUAGCGGUGAAAUGCGCAGAUAUCAGGAGGAACACCGAUGGCGAAGGCAGGUCUCUGGGCCACUACUGACGCUGAGAAGGGAAAGCAUGGGGAGCGAACAGG
rnacentral:rRNA from 1 species